CUUGAACGCUGGCGGCAUGCCUAACACAUGCAAGUCGAGCGGAGCUGCGGACGGGCGGGUAAGGCCUAGGAAUCUGCCCGGUAUUGGGGGAUAAGGUCAGGACACGGGCGCUAAUAUCGCAUCCUUCCAGAUGACCCUAGGUGGGAUUACCUAGUUGGUGGGGUAAAGGCCUACCAAGGCGACGAUCCGUAACUGGUCUGAGAGGCUGAUCAGUCACACUGGAACUGAGACACGGUCCAGACUCCUACGGGAGGCAGCAGUAGGGAAUAUGGGACAAUGGGCGAAAGCCUGAUCCAGCCAUGCCGCGUGUGUGAAGAAGGUCUUCGGAUUGUAAAGCACUUUAAGUUGGGAAGCGUUACCAACAGAAUAAGCACCGGCUAACUUCGUGCCAGCCGCCGCGGUAAUAC
rnacentral:rRNA from 1 species